CUGAAGAAAGAGGAGCGUUUGCGUCCCUAUCAGUUUUGUGUCUGCUGUCCUGACCUCAGUCAACCGACGUCACAGGACAUCCGCAGUUUCAAGGAGUUGCAUGGUGAGCCAGUUGGCAUCCUGAUAUUUAGCAUUAACUGAAAGGAGUAUAAACAGCAUCAACGGCAGCAAUAUCAACGCUGGGACGUUGGGGAGAGGAACAGAGAAACGGGAGAGAUGGAUGAUAUCACAUAGCUGAUACAGUAUUGAGGCGCUCGGCAGAGAACUUAUUUUUAUUGCUGCGGCUCUGAAGACUCUCCUUCUCCACCGGCAGACUCCAGAUGAGGUGUGUUCCGGUCAUCGCUGUCCUCAGCAACAAACGGCCUCGUCUAGCAUGCAAACCGCCGCAGGUCACCAUAGAUUUAAUCUGUUGAACACCGCAUCAGUUAUGUGACCUGGGAUUGUCUCAUCCAGAUGGAAAAUGCUCAGCUCAGAUAACCCUGGGAAUUACUCCGCCAGCAAUCUACACACCAUCUCCAAGAUACUACCGCAGCUACUCACGGAACAAUACCGAUCCAGCUGCGUGUGUCUUAUCUGCUGCUCAGAGAUAAAGAAUAGGACACAUGGAGGUAUUAACACCAGGGCUGGUUAUGAGAUAUUAAGCGACACUUACAUGAGAGACCUGUUCUUACACUCGGUUUACUCCAAUGACCCAGUUUUUUCUGCAUGGUCUGAUCUGCUCAUCAAAGUGUCUCUCUUGCGUUGUGUUAACGUUAAUAUCGCAGCACACUUUUUGGCUCCAACUAGCCGUGUUUUGCAGGGUACAGCAUACAGGUGCUUGGCUUUAACUCUUCCUGCUGGUUUGGAAAGCCCACAGGAGACACCAUUGGUUUGGUCUCUGGGAUGUGAACCGAUAGCGCUCACAAGUCCACGUCCCUCCUCUAUUCUGAGCAGAAACCCCGGGAAGACAACCCCCUUUUUCCCUUUUC
ensembl:lncRNA